rnacentral:rRNA from 1 species
CCUACGGGAGGCAGCAGUGGGGAAUAUUGCACAAUGGGCGCAAGCCUGAUGCAGCCAUGCCGCGUGUGUGAAGAAGGCCUUCGGGUUGCAAAGCACUUUCAGCGGGGAGGAAGGCGGUGAGGUUAAUAACCUCAUCGAUUGACGUUACCCGCAGAAGAAGCACCGGCUAACUCCGUGCCAGCAGCCGCGGUAAUACGGAGGGUGCAAGCGUUAAUCGGAAUUACUGGGCGUAAAGCGCACGCAGGCGGUCUGUCAAGUCGGAUGUGAAAUCCCCGGGCUCAACCUGGGAACUGCAUUCGAAACUGGCAGGCUAGAGUCUUGUAGAGGGGGGUAGAAUUCCAGGUGUAGCGGUGAAAUGCGUAGAGAUCUGGAGGAAUACCGGUGGCGAAGGCGGCCCCCUGGACAAAGACUGACGCUCAGGUGCGAAAGCGUGGGGAGCAAACAGGAUUAGAUACCCGUGUAGUC